rnacentral:rRNA from 1 species
AUGUUCGAGCGUGCCUCGACCACAUACCCUUGACCUCAAAUCGGGUGAGACUACCCGCUGAACUUAAGCAUAUCAAUAAGCGGAGGAAAAGAAACUAACAAGGAUUCCCCUAGUAACUGCGAGUGAAGCGGGAAAAGCUCAAAUUUAAAAUCUGAUGGUCCUUGGCCGUCCGAGUUGUAAUUUAGAGAAGCGUCUUCCGCGCCGGACCGUGCACAAGUCUCCUGGAAUGGAGCGUCGUAGAGGGUGAGAAUCCCGUCUUUGGCACGGAUGCCCGGUGCUUCUGUGAUGCGCUCUCGAAGAGUCGAGUUGUUUGGGAAUGCAGCUCAAAAUGGGUGGUGAACUCCAUCUAAAGCUAAAUAUUGGCGAGAGACCGAUAGCGAACAAGUACCGUGAGGGAAAGAUGAAAAGCACUUUGGAAAGAGAGUGAAACAGUACGUGAAAUUGUUGAAAGGGAAACGCUUGAAGUCAGUCGCGUCGACCGAGACUCAGCCUUGCCUCGGCUUGGUGUACUUCUCGGCUUGACGGGUCAGCAUCAAUUUUGUCCCUCGGAUAAUGGCAAGGGAAAGGUGGCACCUUUGCGGGUGUGUUAUAGUCUCCUGUCGCAUGUGAGGGGUGAGAUUGAGGAACUCAGUGCGCACCUUUGGUGUCGGGGCUUUGCCCACGUAACGCGCUUAGGAUGC